GACGAACGCUGGCGGCGUGCUUAACACAUGCAAGUCGAACGGAAAGGCCCUGCUUUUGUGGGGUGCUCGAGUGGCGAACGGGUGAGUAACAAGUGAGUAACCUGCCCUUGACUUUGGGAUAACUUAAGGAAACUGGGGUUAAUACCGGAUAGGAGCUCCUGCUGCAUGGUGGGGGUUGGAAAGUUUGGGCGGUUGGGGAUGGACUCGCGGGUUAUCAGCUUGUUGGUGGGGUAGUGGCUUACCAAGGCUUUGACGGGUAGCCGGCCUGAGAGGGUGACCGGCAAAAUGGGGACUGAGAUACGGCCCGGACUCCAACGGGAGGCAGCGGGGGGGAAUAUUGCACAAUGGGCGGAAGCCUGAUGCAGCAACGCCGGGUGCGGGAUGACGGCCUUCGGGUGGUAAACCGCUUUCGCCGGGGACGAAGCGGGAGUGACGGUAAUGGGUAAAGAAGCACCGGCUAACUACGUG
rnacentral:rRNA from 1 species